rnacentral:rRNA from 1 species
GAUGAACGCUGGCGGCGUGCCUAAUACAUGCAAGUCGAGCGAACAGACGAGGAGCUUGCUCCUCUGACGUUAGCGGCGGACGGGUGAGUAACACGUGGAUAACCUACCUAUAAGACUGGGAUAACUUCGGGAAACCGGAGCUAAUACCGGAUAAUAUAUUGAACCGCAUGGUUCAAUAGUGAAAGACGGUUUUGCUGUCACUUAUAGAUGCAUCCGCGCUGCAUUAGCUAGUUGGUAAGGUAACGGCUUACCAAGGCUACGAUGCGUAGCCGACCUGAGAGGGUGAUCGGCCACACUGGAACUGAGACACGGUCCAGACUCCUACGGGAGGCAGCAGUAGGGAAUCUUCCGCAAUGGGCGAAAGCCUGACGGAGCAACGCCGCGUGAGUGAUGAAGGUCUUCGGAUCGUAAAACUCUGUUAUUAGGGAAGAACAAAUGUGUAAGUAACUAUGCACGUCUUGACGGUACCUAAUCAGAAAGCCACGGCUAACUACGUG